UUUUUUUUUUUUUUGUUUUUGGUUCAAAAUUACCUUGAAUCAACUGCACAAGGUGGGUUCAAAGAACUCAGAGUGGAGAAAGUAUCUUUCUUUCCUGUUAUAAAUCACAAUGCUCACAUCCAAGGGCACACCAUAGAAGCUCACGAUUGGCAAGGCAAUAUGUGGAUUAAGCAGGUGAAGUAAUGGUAUAUUUCUUCAUCAUCAUGCAAGAGCACUUCAUGUCUGGAAACCUAACGUGCAAUGAACAGUGUAACUUCAUUUUGUGAAUGCUAAUGGACUUAAAUUUUGUGAAAACUUUAUGAAAAAGUAGCUAACUGCUGGAACUUUGAUCCGUCUCUAUACUUUUCAAGUGCAUAGGGCACUGCAAUGGUGCUAUAAAACCAUUAACAAUGGUUCAAG
rnacentral:misc_RNA from 1 species